rnacentral:rRNA from 1 species
AUUGAACGCUGGCGGCAGGCCUAACACAUGCAAGUCGAACGGUAACAGGAAACAGCUUGCUGUUUCGCUGACGAGUGGCGGACGGGUGAGUAAUGUCUGGGAAACUGCCUGAUGGAGGGGGAUAACUACUGGAAACGGUAGCUAAUACCGCAUAACGUCGCAAGACCAAAGAGGGGGACCUUCGGGCCUCUUGCCAUCGGAUGUGCCCAGAUGGGAUUAGCUAGUAGGUGGGGUAACCGGNUCACCUAGGCGACGAUCCCUAGCUGGUCUGAGAGGAUGACCAGCCACACUGGAACUGAGACACGGUCCAGACUCCUACGGGAGGCAGCAGUGGGGAAUAUGCACAAUGGGCGCAAGCCUGAUGCAGCCAUGCCGCGUGCAGGAUGAAGGCCUUCGGGUUGUAAACUGCUUUGUCAGGACGAAAGGACCGUGUUAAUACCAUGGUCUGCUGACGGUACCUGAGAAUAAGCACGGCU